rnacentral:rRNA from 1 species
GACGAACGCUGGCGGCGUGCUUAACACAUGCGAGUCGAGCGGUAAGGCCCUUUCGGGGGUACACGAGCGGCGAACGGGUGAGUAACACGUGGGUGACCUGCCCUUAGCUCUGGGAUAAGCCUGGGAAACUGGGUCUAAUACCGGAUAUGACCUCAUGACUCAUGUUGUGGGGUGGAAAGCCUUGUGCGGCUAGGGAUGGGCCCGCGGCCUAUCAGCUUGUUGGUGGGGUAAUUGCCUACCAAGGCGACGACGGGUAGCCGGCCUGAGAGGGCGACCGGCCACACUGGGACUGAGACACGGCCCAGACUCCUACGGGAGGCAGCAGUGGGGAAUCUUGCGCAAUGGGCGAAAGCCUGACGCAGCGACGCCGCGUGAGGGAUGACGGCCU